rnacentral:rRNA from 1 species
AGUGAACGCUGGCGGUAGGCCUAACACAUGCAAGUCGAACGGCAGCACAGUAAGAGCUCGCUCUUACGGGUGGCGAGUGGCGGACGGGUGAGGAAUACAUCGGAAUCUACUUUUUCGUGGGGGAUAACGUAGGGACACUUACGCUACUACCGCAUACGACCUACGGGUGAAAGCAGGGGAUCUUCGGACCUUGCGCGAUUGAAUGAGACGAUGUCGGAUUAGCUAGUUGGCGGGGUAAAGGCCCACCAAGGCGACGAUCCGUAGCUGGUCUGAGAGGAUGAUCAGCCACACUGGAACUGAGACACGGUCCAGACUCCUACGGGAGGCAGCAGUGGGGAAUAUUGGACAAUGGGCGCAAGCCUGAUCCAGCCAUACCGCGUGAGUGAAGAAGGCCUUCGGGUUGUAAAGCCCUUUUGUUGGGAAAGAAAAGCAGCAGGUUAAUACCCCGCUGUUCUGACGGUACCCAAAGAAUAAGCACCGGCUAACUUCGUG